rnacentral:lncRNA from 1 species
GGAUGCAGGAACUGCUGCUGCUCAUGAUCUCCGCCUCUCAGUGCAUGGCUGCUAUCUCAUCCAAUAGAUGUUUCACACUGCUACACCCAGUGUUUUUGUUAUUGUCAGCUGCUGAACUGAUAGUGAAAAAAGAAACACAGCCAAAUGAAGUUUUAAGGAAGUGGAGUAAACUGAAAUUAAGUGUUCAACAAGGUUUUCUAAUGAAUCCUUUGGAAGUACUCAGAUGCUUUUCCUCAGCUGUUAUCUCCAGAAGGCCCUAACUUUUUGUUGAAGACAUAUUUUGUUAAAGGAGAAUUAUGUAGCUGGCGAUACUGAUACUGUUUGGAUUUUCAGAGAAUGAAAACUUAAGAAGUGCAUAUACCUGGCGUCUUGUGAAAGCUAAGGUAAGACUAGAAGAGGAGAAGUUAAGUCCCAGCUAAGCAUUUUUGUAGCUUGGGAGUGGCAAAGGGUUAUUACCGUGCGGUACACUUUAGCACACGCAGUACGCUUUUAUGAAGGAUAGAAGAUUGCCGAAUAGCAGGUCACUGUGGGCAAGAAGAAAGC